CCAUCCACCCAUCCAUCCAACCCACUGCAACCCCUCCCUGAUCCAGAUCCUACCUUAGCCUCCUCUUCUCUCCCCGAUCUAGAUCCAACCGACCUCUCCCCCUCCCCGCUGCCUCCCAUCCACACGCCGCAUCGCCAAAGCCCUCCUCCAAAUCCCUCAACACGCUGGACAAUGUGCUGCCGGCCCCAAGAAGGCCGCCAAGCUGCUCUCCAUGGUGCCCGCCGUCGCCGUCGCCCGCUCCCCCAAAGCCCGCAUCGCCGGCUUCGUCACCAGAUUCCUGUAGCACCCCACCAGUCGUCGCCUUGCCCGAAGAGCUCACACGCCCCCCCUCCGCUCCCGGCAUCGUCGUCCCUAUAGAGAAGUGGAUCCUCCCGCCGCAACAUCCCGCCCGAUUCCGGUGUCCUUCGGCGGCGCCCAACACACCACCGUGACCCCCUCCCCGCCAUCUUCCUCCCUUGCACAAGCCGCUUGAAUCCUCCCACAGGUAUGUUGUCUAGUAGAUAAGUGAAUCGAUGGGCGUGGAUGUGUGUGUGUGUGUCUGUGUGUGUGUGUUUGUGUGUGUGUGUGACAUCGAGGUUUCCUGUAGGUCGGCAGUGGCUGGGCUGGAGACACUGCUUCCCCUGCACANNN
rnacentral:lncRNA from 1 species